AGUCCGCCAUUGCAAACACGAAGCUCUUCCAGAAACGCCCUCACAGACACCCCGGAAGUCACGUACCCACUCUGUAGGUGCCCCGGGGCACAGGCAAGCGGACGAGCCAGUUAUCCCUCAGAGCUCCUGCUGCCUCGCCCGCUUUCUCUCGGAAACGUGAAGUGUGGCCUCAGCUGAAAGUGAGGUGGGCCUCAUUCAAUCAGUUGAAUUCUUCAAGAGAGAAAAACUGAAGUCCCUUAGAAGGAAAGAGUUCUGCCUUCAGACUGUCUUUGAACUUAAGACUGUAGCGUCGACUCCUGCCGGAAUUUCCAGCCUGCUGGCCAGCUCUGCAGAUUCACACUUGCCAGCCUCCACAAUCGCAGCUGAGGCGGAGGAACCCUAAGGGCUCAUUGAGAUCAUGGAUUUGCCCUUCUAUGCAUUGAUGGAGCACCUGCUGCCCACAGCGUCUGUAUUUGGUGCUGGGAUGCUGAGGACACUGAGAUCUUCAAACAGAGGCUGCCACUCUAAGCAAACAGAUCCCGAGCCCUGGACUCUGAAGCUUGGGCCCAGUUCUCCUUUUCUCCGGGUUUCAGAUCCCACUGUGAAGUGAGGGGGCCCUUCUGAUUCAGGACCCGGGGAAGCCAGGGGCAUGAGCAUCGGUGCCUCUUCUCUAUUUCAAGGACCCUUCUGGGUGUAAAGUUCUCUGAGAUGCCUUACAUGGAUUCCCACCACUGCAAGAUAACCAUCGUAUGUAAAGUGUUAUGACCAGCAGAGCGUAAUUGAAGUGCAUUCCAGAGGGAAAGACAGCGGCUCAGGUUUACAUCAGGAAAACAAAACAGAUGACAUCCAUGGGCUCUCAAGGAAAUUGCAAUAUAAUGACAAAUUUCUCUCAACUGUUUGGCUUCUCUGGAGGAAAUACGCAGGAUAUGCAGUAAGAAGUGAGAUGGGAUCGUCAGGUAAGGCUGCCUGGAGGAGGUGGCAUGGAAGCCAAGGCUGUAGAGCAAGUUGACUAGGCAUUGCACAGGGGGAACUGCAUCCUUGGUAGAGGGAAAGGAAUGUGUAAGCCUUG
rnacentral:lncRNA from 1 species